rnacentral:misc_RNA from 1 species
GAGAGAGAGAGAGAGAGAGAGAGAGACAAUUAGUUCAUAAUUAUUUAUUUUUAAUUAUUCUUUUUGGUGAGUCCUAGUUCUGGGUCUGAGUUAAACAGAAAACGCAAGAACCAACAACAUAGAAAGGAGAAUCAAAGCUCGUGAUUCGAGAGAAGUAGAGCACCGGUCAACAUCAACACCAAUACCAGUAGUUUCGGGAAGGAGAAGAAGAUGGGCCGCCACAGGCCUUCAUAAACAUCAUCUCCAUAUUAUCACACUACAUUAAGCCAUGGAAUACACUGGACGAGUUCUGCUUCGUCUCGUUCUUGUUCUGUUAUUGAUUCAGUGUUCACUAGCCCAGCAAGGCUUCUUGAACUCCAGCAUCGAGUGGACAGCUUUGCUUGAUCUUCGGUCAUCUUUAGGACUCAGAAGCACAGACUGGCCUAUAAAAUCCGACCCAUGCAGCAAAUGGAAUGGAGUCCAGUGCAAGAACGGCCGAGUCACCGGAAUCAAUAUUUCCGGGUUCAGACGGACCCGCAUUGGGCGUUCAAAUCCCAGUUUCAGCGUCGAUUCCCUCGUCAAUUUGACGUUUCUGGAGUCUUUUAAUGCUUCUGGGUUUUCACUUCCCGGUUGGAUACCGUCCUGGUUCGGUUACAGACUUGGUUCGCUGCAGGUACUCGAUCUCCGGUCUAGUUCAGUGACCGGUCCGAUUCCAGAUUCUCUCGGUAAUUUGACUAGAGUCAAUGCUUUACAUCUAUCUGGUAAUAACCUUACUGGUAAUAUACCCUCUGCUUUGGGCCAGUUAAUGCAAUUAUCAGUUCUUGACCUUUCGAGGAAUUCCCUCACUGGACAAUUACCUACUACUUUUGCAUUGCUUAGCAAUUUGUCAAGGCUCGACCUUUCUUCCAAUUUCUUAACCGGUCCAAUUCCGCAGGCUUUGGGUAACAUGGAUAGAUUGCAAUCCUUGAAUUUAUCUGACAAUAAUUUCGCGGAUUCAAUUCCUGUGAACCUGGGUAACCUUUCUCAAUUGGUUGAGCUUACUCUUACCAGAAACUCAUUGUCUGGGUCAUUGCCUGUAGAAUUAGCAGGGUUGAAGGACUUGGUACGGAUGGAAAUUGGGGAUAAUGGACUAGAGGGUGGGUUGCCUGAUGGUUUAUUUUCCAGUCUUAAAAAAUUGCAAGUUGUGGUCUUAAGUGGGA